rnacentral:rRNA from 1 species
CGAGUGGCGAACGGGUGAGUAAUAUAUCGGAACGUGCCCAGUUGUGGGGGAUAACUACUCGAAAGAGUGGCUAAUACCGCAUGAGACCUGAGGGUGAAAGCGGGGGAUCGCAAGACCUCGCGCAAUUGGAGCGGCCGAUAUCAGAUUAGCUAGUUGGCGGGGUAAAAGCCCACCAAGGCGACGAUCUGUAGCUGGUCUGAGAGGACGACCAGCCACACUGGGACUGAGACACGGCCCAGACUCCUACGGGAGGCAGCAGUGGGGAAUUUUGGACAAUGGGGGCAACCCUGAUCCACCCAUUCCGCGUGAGUGAAGAAGGCCUUCGGGUUGUAAAGCUCUUUUGUCGGGGACGAAACGGUUACGAUUAAUACUCGUGACAACUGACGGUACCCGAAGAAUAAGCACCGGCUAACUACGUGCCAGCAGCCGCGGUAAUACGUAGGGUGCGAGCGUUAAUCGGAAUUACUGGGCGUAAAGCGUGCGCAGGCGGUUUUGUAAGCCAGAUGUGAAAUCCCCGGCCUUAACCUGGGAAUGGCAUUUGGGACUGCAAGGCUAGAGUAUGGCAGAGGAGACUAGAAUUUCUGGUGUAGCAGUGAAAUGCGUACAUAUCAAAAGGAAUACCGAUGGCGAAGGCAGGUCUCUGGGUCAAUACUGACCCCUCAUGCACGAAAGCGUGGGGAGCAAACCAGGAUUAAAUACCCUGGUAGUCCACCCCCUAAACGAUGUCAACUGGUUGUUGGGAGAUUUAUUCUCUUAGUAACAAAGCUAACCCCUGAAGUUGACCCCCUGGGGAGUACGGUCCCCAAAAUAAAACUCCAAGGAUUUGACGGGGGCCCCGCCCAGCCGGUGGAUGAUUGGGAUUAAUUCGAU